UACCAGCACCCCGAGUGGUCGGGACGUUUAUUGGGCCUAAAGCAUCCGUAGCCGGUUCUACAAGUCUUCCGUUAAAUCCAACUGCUUAACAGGUGGGCUGCGGAAGAUACUAUAGAGCUAGGAGGCGGGAGAGGCAAGCGGUACUCGAUGGGUAGGGGUAAAAUCCGUUGAUCCAUUGAAGACCACCAGUGGCGAAGGCGGCUUGCCAGAACGCGCUCGACGGUGAGGGAUGAAAGCUGGGGGAGCAAAACGG
rnacentral:rRNA from 1 species